rnacentral:rRNA from 1 species
UACGAAGGGUGCAAGCGUUGUUCGGAAUUACUGGGCGUAAAGAGCGCGUAGGCGGUCUAUUAAGUCAGGCGUGAAAGUCCCGGGCUCAACCUGGGAAUUGCGUUUGAUACUGGUAGGCUUGAGAUUCAGAGAGGUGAGUGGAAUUCCUAGUGUAGCAGUGAAAUGCGUAGAUAUUAGGAGGAACAUCAGUGGCGAAGGCGGCUCACUGGCUGAAUACUGACGCUAAGGCGCGAAAGCGUGGGAGC